GAUUAACGCUAGCGGCAGGCCUAAUACAUGCAAGUCGAACGGGAUUUCGGGUAGCAAUAUCUGAAUGAGAGUGGCGCACGGGUGCGUAACACGUAUGCAAUCUGCCUCUGACUGGGGGAUAGCCUUCCGAAAGGAAGAUUAACACCGCAUAAAAUAAUGAAGUGGCAUCACUUUAUUAUCAAAACUCCGGUGGUCAGAGAUGAGCAUGCGUCCGAUUAGCUAGUUGGUGAGGUAACGGCUCACCAAGGCGACGAUCGGUAGGGGGUCUGAGAGGAUGAUCCCCCACACAGGUACUGAGACACGGACCAGACUGUUACGGGAGGCAGUAGUAAGGAAAAUUGGAAAAUGGUCGCAAGACUGAUCCAGCCAUGCCGCGUGAAGGAUGAAUGCCCUAUGGGUUGUAAACUUCUUUUAAACGGGAAAAAACCCCUCUACGUGUAGAGGGCUGAUGGUACCGUAAGAAUAAGGAUCGGCUAACUUCGUGCCAGCAGCCGCCGUAACAC
rnacentral:rRNA from 1 species